rnacentral:rRNA from 1 species
UGCAGUCGAACGGAAACGGAACUAGCUUGCUAGUAGACGUCGAGUGGCGGACGGGUGAGUAACGCGUAGGAAUCUGCCUGAUAGUGGGGGAUAGCCCGAAGAAAUUCGGAUUAAUACCGCAUAAUCUAUUCGUAGUAAAGUGGGGGACUUUCGAGCCUCACGCUAUCAGAUGAGCCUGCGUAAGAUUAGCUUGUUGGUAGGGUAAAAGCCUACCAAGGCAACGAUCUUUAGCUGGUCUGAGAGGAUGAUCAGCCACAUCGGGACUGAGACACGGCCCGAACUCCUACGGGAGGCAGCAGUGGGGAAUCUUGCACAAUGGGGGAAACCCUGAUGCAGCGAUGCCGCGUGAGUGAAGAAGGCCUUUGGGUUGUAAAGCUCUUUCGUCGGGGAAGAAAAUGACUGUACCCGAAUAAGAAGGUCCGGCUAACUUCGUGCCAGCAGCCGCGGUAAUACGAAGGGACCUAGCGUAGUUCGGAAUUACUGGGCUUAAAGAGCUCGUAGGUGGUUAGAAAAGUUGGUGGUGAAAUCCCAAGGCUUAACCUUGGAACUGCCACCAAAACUUUUUAACUAGAGUAUGAUAGAGGAAAGUGGAAUUUCUAGUGUAGAGGUGAAAUUCGUAGAUAUUAGAAAGAACACCGAUUGCGAAGGCAACUUUCUGGAUCAUUACUGACACUGAGGAGCGAAAGCAUGGGUAGCGAAGAGGAUUAGAUACCCUCGUAGUCCAUGCCGUAAACGAUGUGUGCUAGACGUUGGAAAUUUAAUUUUCAGUGUCGCA